UACAGAUACCCACCGAGAGAAAAUAACCGCGAUACUACAGUUGAGGAAACAUUCUGGUUUACUAAAUUAAAAGGAAAUGUACCUGUCGAUCUGAGAACAGAGUAUUCAGGUCGCAUGCGAUAUAGUUGUCAAGAGAAAAGUUGCACUCUGAGAAUCACAGACCUGAGAGAGAGCGACUCAGCUGUUUACAAGUUCAGAUUCACAACAAAUCAACCAGAUAGAACUUAUACUAGUUCACCUGGUGUUACUUUGUCUGUCACAGAUCUGCAGGUGAAAAAAUCUGGAGAUUGGCUGGACUGUUUCAGCAGAUGUCAUCUGCCAGGUCAUCCUUCUUACAUCUGGUACAGAAAUGGAGAGGAAAUUCAGGGAAAAACAUCGCCAUAUUUAUGGAACUCUCAUUAUUCUAACAGUUAUUCCUGUGCUGUAAAAGGACAUGAGGAUUUGCCCUCUUCUCCAGUGUGUGUCAAUGGUCAAAACUGCCACAGAGUGACGUACACUGACAGAAG